rnacentral:rRNA from 1 species
CUACGGGCUGCUCCAGUAGGGAAUAUUGGACAAUGGGCGAAAGCCUGAUGCAGCCAUACCGCGUGUGUGAAGAAGGCCCGAGGGUUGUAAAGCACUUUCAAUUGUGAGGAAGGUUCAGUAGUUAAUACCUGCUGUUCUUGACGUUAACUUUAGAAGAAGCACCGGCUAACUCUGUGCCAGCAGCCGCGGUAAUACAGAGGGUGCAAGCGUUAUUCGGAAUGACUGGGCGUAAAGCGCGCGUAGGCGGAUUGUUAAGUCAGUUGUGAAAGCCCUGGGCUCAACCUGGGAACUGCAUCUGAUACUGGCAAGCUAGAGUUUAAGAGAGGGAAGUGGAAUUCCAGGUGUAGCAGUGAAAUGCGUAGAUAUCUGGAGGAACAUCAGUGGCGAAGGCGACUUCCUGGCUUAAAACUGACGCUGAGGUGCGAAAGCGUGGGUAGCGAACAGGAUUAGAUACCCUCGUAGUC